AAUGCUCUUUGGCCAGAGAAUAGUUUUUUUGGGCGGCAUUUUCCUUCUUCUUACCUACGCUCUUCUUCAAUUUGGAAACCUAAUCAAUUCUCUCAAUCAGUUACGCUCUUCUUCAAUUUGAAAAUCAUUCUCCAGGCAAAUUGAUUUCUCUUUAAAUCUCAAAACCUAAUCAAAUUGACAUUGUUGAGAAGCCAGGAAAUUGAGAAUUGAACGACAAUACUUUUCUCCUCUUUUUCUUUCACGCUAAUCGUGUUCCUUCAUCAUCUACGAUCCUAAUCUCUGUCGUUCUUAUUCAUAAAACAAACAGGGAAUUCAAUCGUUUCAAUCGGUUUAGUUUCAAGCCGGUUGGAAAGAACUGGCGUCCGUUUUCACUUAGAGCAUGCAUGAAAGAAAGUGUGACCGUAACUGUUAAACCUGGAACUUCACUCCAGAUAACAGUCGUUGCUGUGGAGGGACAGGGCACUGGUGUCACUUUGGUGGAUGUGACACCCCAUGGUUUCGGAGUGGAAAAACCUGAUGGAUCUGGGUCUAAUGUAAGCAAGGAAAGCACUGAUCCAAAUAAAGAUCUGGAAGCUACUAUUCGUUCAAAAAAACCGAAGCUCUACGGAAGCGUUGAUGCUUUCUUUGACCGAGAUUUUCUGAAGAUAUAUUUGAAAAACAGCCUAAAUGAGGACAAGAAGAAGCCAGUAGAUAUAAUUGACAUUGCUUCAAAGAUUCUACCUUUCCCAGCUGAACGCCGCCUCCUUUCUGCUGCUUUCAAAGUUGCGAAACCAUUUGCUGGACACUUUGCUAAACAGGCCUUUCGUUUCAUUCUCGAAAUAAUACCUCCUAACCUCCCAACACUACCUGCUGCGGAAUCUGAGAAUCACCCCGAUGAAUCUAAGAAUCACCCCACACUUUCAGAAGGGCUGUAGGGGCUGCCGGUGUCAGUUGAAAGCGCCAGUGAAUGACGGCUUGGGGGUUUCGGUCGAAACAACCAUGUGGAAAUCUAGCCAAGUGUGUAUACACUUGAGAGAUGAUUGUGAGCUGAGUUUAAAGAGGUCAAAGAUGAUGUGUUUCAAGGUGACGACGGCUACCCACUUAAAGCAUGCUACCCACUGAUGUUACAUGUGUUCUUCAAAUUCUUAGAGACUGUGAUCCCAAAAUAUAACGAUUUCAAGCAGCCCGGAGACAGAUACCGAUCAUGGGAUCUAGCCAGGCAAGAGAGAUUCAUUGUCCGAAUGUGUAAGAUAUUGUCUGACCCACGGGUAACCCAUGAACUCCGCAGUAUUUGGAUCUCCUACUGGACCCAGGCUUACCAGUCUCUGGGGCAGAAGAUAGCAUCACGCCUCAAUGUGCACCCCAAUUAUUGAACACGGUUAUCUUGAGUUUGGGCCCGCUUAAGCUAGAUUGAUGAUCAUGCUAUAGUAGGUCCAUCUCUAAGAUUGUUAUGUUACACAAGCGGUGUUGUAUGUAUCAGUCCUACCUUUCGUCUGUAAUAUUUUAUCAUACUUAAGGAACCUGAAACUUAGAAUAAGUGCACACCUAGAUGUGUGAGUUACAAUAUAAAAUUAUAAUUUUUACUUACAAUUUUAAAAGACUUAAUUUUUACUUCAAUAGUUCAAUUCACAUUAAAAUCUAUUUUGAAGUUUACAUGGCCUUUUGAAUCUUUCUGCUUUUUACAGCUGGUAAACCAUGUUUACUUUUCGCCUGAUGGGCAAUGGAUUGCAAUUGCAAUUGGCUGGUGGACCAUUUUAUCCUGUACACACUGGUAGGAAAGACAGUGAUUACUCUUUCCCUGAAAUUUCAUAUGAGACCAUCCGUGUAACACACGGGUACUUAGACAUUGUGAAAAAUUAUGUUUACGAUCAAUAUACAUAACUUUAGGAUGUCAAAGAGAAGCACUCAGUUACUCUCUUAUAGCUCAAUAUCACCAGGAUGUAAUAAAGUAUUUAUGUAUUAAAGUAUAAUUUUUUUGUUGUUUAGCCACCCGUGUAUUACACGGGAACUUAUUAGACUAGUUUAAUGAUAAAUGAUUACAUUGCUAUCAACUAAUUAGCUAAGAAUAAGAUACUAUAGUCAUA